rnacentral:rRNA from 1 species
UUUAAAUGUAAAAUAAAUUUACUAAAGUAGUAAUAGUUAUGUUCUUGAAAUUUAAAGAUUUUGGCGGUAUUUUAGUCUAUUUAGAGGAACCUGUUCUAUAAUUGAUAAUCCACGAUUAACUUUACUUAUUUUAUAAAUUUGUAUACCGUCGUUAUUAGAAAAUUUUAAUAGAAUAAAAAUUUUUAAUAUUUUAUAUUAAAAAAUAUAUCAGAUCAAGGUGCAGUUAAUAUUUAAGAAGAAAUGGGUUACAAUAAAUUUAUUUAUAUGGAUUAAAAUAUUAACAGUUUUAUGAAGGUGGAUUUAAUAGUAAUUAAAUUAAUAUAAGUUUUUUGAUUUUAGCUCUAAAAUAUGU